rnacentral:rRNA from 1 species
UACGGAGGGGGCUAGCGUUGUUCGGAAUUACUGGGCGUAAAGCGCACGUAGGCGGAUUGGAAAGUCAGAGGUGAAAUCCCGGGGCUCAACCCCGGAACGGCCUUUGAAACUCCUGGUCUUGAGGUCGAGAGAGGUGAGUGGAAUUCCGAGUGUAGAGGUGAAAGUCGUAGAUAUUAGGAAGAACACCAGUGGCGAAGGCGGCUCACUGGCACGAUACUGACGCUGAGGUGCGAAAGCGUGGGGAGCAAACAGG